rnacentral:rRNA from 1 species
CCCUUAGAUGUUCUGGGCCGCACGCGUGCUACACUGACCGGCGCAACAAGUUUCUUUCCUUGGCCGACAGGCCUGGGCAAUCUUUGAACAUCGAUCGUGAUCGGGAUAGAUUCUUGUAAUUUUUGAUCUUAAACGAGGAAUUCCUAGUAAACGCAAGUCAUCAGCUUGCAUUGAUUACGUCCCUGCCCUUUGUACACACCGCCCGUCGCACCUACCGAUUGAAUGGUCCGGUGAAAUCUCCGGACUGGCGUGAGUCGGAGCAAUCUGACAAACACCGGAAAGUUGAUUAAACCUUACCAUUUAGAGGAAGGUGAAGUCGUAACA